CUGACUGCUUGUAUCUCUAUGUCUCUGGGAAUUUUUCACGGCAUAGGUCCAUAGUGCUCAGUUCAUGGAGUUUGCAGAGGUGGAAAACCAUGAUGACUUUUAUACCAGUGAAGGUGGAUAUAUUCACACACAGGACCCAUGAGGGUUUUAUAUAAUAUAUGAUGUGGCUUUAAAGGACCUGAAGGAGCUUGAGCACCAGCUGCUCCUUGUGACCAGCCAAUAUAUUGAGAAAGAUAAAAGCCAUAUAACUUGUGGUCAGUUCAAAGGCAGCAACCUCCUUGGCUGGGCACAUUCCUCUGUGGAUCAAUUUGCAGUGCUGCUUGACCUCUGGACCUGUGAAACUGCUCUCUUGGAGAAAAAAUCUCAGUUAUUUGCAGAGGUACUGAUAGAAGACCCUGUGCUGGUGCAAGAGGUUGCUUUGUCACUAUGAGAGCUGGGAGCAGAGGAAGAAAAAAAGGAAAGCAGACAAAACCGGUUCUUUUUCCUGGAUUCUUUUUCCAUGAUCCUGGAGCUUGUAACACUUUGCCAUCGGUUGAUGGAGGUGGCAAUGGAGAGUGUGCAGUUAGCCAGGUUAUAUAAGGCUUUUGCAAGGGAAAUGGGUUUUGGUGAGUUCCAUUUGUAUCUGAGGCCAGUGCACUUCAAAUUUGCAUCUUACAAGGAGAAAGCAGACCACAUCCCACCAAUAUUCAUUACAUCUCUCCUGGAAGAUGACAGCUGUGUUGACAGGUAGAAAGAACUAUUUUGUAUUUCACAGGACAUAAUCUCUUUAGAUUGGACAUGACCAGGUCUUCAGUCUGCCUGAGUUCAAAUAUAGGCCACAAAAACUUCAAUGCAUAAAACCUUUGAUUUUUGUUUUUCAACUCGGUGACUACAAAUAGACCCUAUCUCUGUGCAAGGAAAAGGCUAUUUAUUAUCUUCUCUUUUUUCCUGGGGAAGAUGUCUGAAAUGUGUAGAUUUUACAUUUGCUUUGGUUUAC
rnacentral:lncRNA from 1 species